CCCUCCGUAUUACCGCGGCUGCUGGCACGGAGUUAGCCGGUGCUUCCUUUAGUGAUACCAUCAGAUCCUGCGACUAUUUAUCGCAGGACUUUUUUCUCACUCGACAGAGCUUUACAACCCGAAGGCCUUCUUCACUCACGCGGCGUUGCUGCGUCAGGGUUUCCCCCAUUGCGCAAAAUUCCUCACUGCUGCCUCCCGUAGGAGUCUGGACCGUGUUCCAGUUCCAGUGUGGCUGAUCAUCCUCUCAGACCAGCUAACCAUC
rnacentral:rRNA from 1 species